UGAACGGAGAAGUACGACCGAAAGGACGUGUGGAGAUCAUGGAAGAGAGAAUGCCGGUGUGAGUAGCGGAACGUGGGUGAGAAUCCCACGCACCGAAAACCCAAGGUUUCCAGAGGAAGGUUCGUCCGCUCUGGGUAAGUCGGGACCUAAGGCGAGGCCGAAAGGCGUAGUCGAUGGACAACAGGUAGAGAUUCCUGUACCCGUAUAUAUGUGAAGGAAUGACGGAGAGAGGAAGCUGCAGCCAGCGGCUGGAAGAGCUGGUG
rnacentral:rRNA from 1 species